GCUCAGGAUGAACGCUAGCUACAGGCUUAACACAUGCAAGUCGGGGGGUAGCAGGGUAGCAAUACCGCUGACGACCGGCGCACGGGUGAGUAACACGUAUCCAACCUUCCCAUAACUCAGGGAUAGCCUUUCGAAAGAAAGAUUAAUACCUGAUAGUACUUAAGAAAGGCAUCUUUUUUAAGUUAAAGAUUUAUUGGUUAUGGAUGGGGAUGCGUUCCAUUAGAUAGUUGGUGAGGUAACGGCUCACCAAGUCUUCGAUGGAUAGGGGUUCUGAGAGGAAGGUCCCCCACAUUGGUACUGAGACACGGACCAAACUCCUACGGGAGGCAGCAGUGAGGAAUAUUGGUCAAUGGGCG
rnacentral:rRNA from 1 species